GAUGAACGCUGGCGGCGUGCCUAAUACAUGCAAGUCGAGCGAACGGACGAGAAGCUUGCUUCUCUGAUGUUAGCGGCGGACGGGUGAGUAACACGUGGAUAACCUACCUAUAAGACUGGGAUAACUUCGGGAAACCGGAGCUAAUACCGGAUAAUAUUUUGAACCGCAUGGUUCAAUAGUGAAAGACGGUCUUGCUGUCACUUAUAGAUGGAUCCGCGCUGCAUUAGCUAGUUGGUAAGGUAACGGCUUACCAAGGCAACGAUGCAUAGCCGACCUGAGAGGGUGAUCGGACACACUGGAACUGAGACACGGUACAGAAUCCUACGGGAGGCAGCAGUAGGGAAUCUUCCGCAAUGGGCGAAAGCAUGACGGAGCAACGCCGCGUGAGUGAUGAAGGUCUUCGGAUCGUAAAACUCUGUUAUUAGGGAAGAAAAAAUGUGUAAGUAACUGUGCACAGCUUGACGGUAACUAAUCAGAAAGCCACGGCUAACUACGUG
rnacentral:rRNA from 1 species